rnacentral:rRNA from 1 species
UGGGGAAUAUUGCACAAUGGGGGCAACCCUGAUCCAGCAAUGCCGCGGGUGUGAAGAAGGCCUUCGGGUUGUAAAGCACUUUUAUCGGGAACGAAACAUUGUCGGCCAAUACCCGGCAAGACUGACGGUACCCGAGGAAUAAGCACCGGCUAACUCCGUGCCAGCAGCCGCGGUAAUACGGAGGGUGCAAGCGUUAAUCGGAAUUACUGGGCGUAAAGCGUGCGCAGGCGGUUUGUUAAGUCUGCUGUGAAAUCCCCGAGCUCAACUUGGGAAUUGCAGUGGAUACUGGCAAGCUGGAGUACGGUAGAGGAAGGUGGAAUUCCCGGUGUAGCAGUGAAAAUGCGUAGAGAUCGGGAGGAACACCAGUGGCGAAGGCGGCCUUCUGGACCAGUACUGACGCUCAUGCACGAAAGCGUGGGGAGCAAACAGGAUUAGAUACCC